UGCAUGGUUGUCGUCAGCUCGUGUCGUGAGAUGUUGGGUUAAGUCCCGCAACGAGCGCAACCCUCGACCUUAGUUGCCAGCAUUCAGUUGGGCACUCUAAGGUGACUGCCGGCUAAAAGUCGGAGGAAGGUGGGGAUGACGUCAAAUCAUCAUGCCCCUUAUGACCUGGGCUACACACGUGCUACAAUGGGCGGUACAAAGGGUCGCGAACCCGCGAGGGGGAGCCAAUCCCAAAAAGCCGCUCUCAGUUCGGAUUGCAGGCUGCAACUCGCCUGCAUGAAGCCGGAAUCGCUAGUAAUCGCGGAUCAGCAUGCCGCGGUGAAUACGUUCCCGGGCCUU
rnacentral:rRNA from 1 species